GUAAUCACAAUGGAGUUUUGUAAUAAGACUUUUGAAAAUGUACACCUGAAGUUUUAUACCAAAUGUUUUUCAGUGUCUCUCAAUCCAGAUGGAGAUGUAAAGUGUAAUUCUAACCAAUCAAACAGGAUCAAACAUGAGAUAUAAAUGGAGUGUAGAAAGGAAAACACAUACAGAAAACUGCUGGAACAUGAGAAUCCACAGAACAGCAAAAAACAAGAGAACUAGAAAAAUAGAGGCCAGAAAUGAGACACAAACCAGUGGAUCUCCAGAGAAAAGCAGACAGAGAUGGAACAGUAUGGAUAGAAUAAAUCCAGAAUUCUAAUGUGAUCUAGAUGAGCAUGAAAAGAGUUGUUCCGAGUUAAAGCUGAGGUGAGAUUCUAAUAUCAAAACCCUUCAGAUGUUCUCAAGAACAAACACCAGACCUCUGAGACACCAGCAGCUGCAAACAGAUCAUCUUCAUCAUCAUCAUCAUCACAGACUCCAUCACUAUUCUCUCAGAUCUGUGU